GGGACGGGGGCGUCCACACAGGCCGGGGGCUAUGGCGGUCGGGGGAGUGCGUGGUCCGUGGACCUUGGACCACCGAGAUGUGGAAGCCCCAACCGCUUUGAAGUAUAUGAGGAAAAUCCAGCCUCAGAUACAUGGUCCAACAAGGAAAGAGCUACAAACCAACCUCCGAACAGCUUAGAGCACCACCAGGCACCUGGCAAGGCCUUGGAAACUGAUGAAUGAAGCCGAUGCACUGGUGGACCAUGCCCACCCCAUCCCCAACUUGGUACACCACUGCCUACAGGGAAAGAGAGAGGUGCUUUGAAAGAAUUAUGGUGGAGUAACAACGUGGAGAAGAGUGGACCCAUCUGCAGUGGUUGGAGGAAAAGAAGAAAAGGCUAGAAAAGACACUAGGAUUGGGAGAAGUACCUCUUCCUCUAUUCAGCCCAUGUGGUCUGACUUUUUUUUUUUUUUUUAAUGUUGAGAGGGCGAGCAACAGCGCACACAA